CUGCAGUAGGUAGUAGGUACAAGAAUCCACCGCUGCAGUGCCAAUCCACACGCUAACCAAGCUGUCCAACACUCCUCCCUGGCCGCGCCCUUGUUGCUGACCCCCGACCCAGAAACCUGUUUUGAAAUCAUGGCCACUGCAGAGCUCGCACUGGAGAUCAUCAACAGAAACGUGAAAUGCAUUUCAUCCUACAUCUUCCAGACUGGAGAAUUUAACAAGCAUUAUGCCAUUAAAUGGUUUUGCGGCCUUGAGGCACGAUUUUAUUUGACUAAAGUGACUGACUCUUCCACAAAGUUCCUCUUUCUUCUCUGUGCACUACCACAAAAGGUUUUAAAUGAAGUUACUUCAGCUUCUUUAGAGUCCGAAGACUAUGAUAGAUUGAAAUCUGAACUCAUAGCAUCAUAUGCUAAAUCCAAACUAGAACAAUUUGAUCAUUUAGUCUUGAAACAAAAUAAAAUUUGCAGAAAGCCUUCAGUUUUCCAGCAGGACAAUAAUUGCAUAGCUCGUUCACUAGGCUUAGACAAAGAAUUUACUAAGGAAAAGUUCAGGGAACUCAUGUUUGGCAGAAUCCGUUUAUCGCUUUUCGGCCAAUAUGGUGAUUUGCUUGAUGAAAUGGCUGCAAUUGCCAAUACCUUGUCGUCAUCUAGAUUACAGGAACCUGAUGUUCAUCAGACUGCUAACAAUAAUGGAAUACAACAGGGCAUUGUUGGGACGAAUGAUAGUGCUCCUGUUGGCCCUGUCAAUUGUACUACCGGCACUGUGUUUGCUACUAUUGAUCAUUCAAGCGAGGCUCUGCCUAUAGGUCUUCGUCCGUUUCAUGCCGGUCAACUUCCGAAAGUUUGUCGAUAUCACAUUUUUUUUGGCGAUAAAGCCAAGUUUUGUAAACCAUGGUGCAUGAUUGCAAAUUGGAAUUCUUCCGCAAAAAUUCUACCUAGUUCACGGCCCUCUUCUCGUUCAAGCUCUCCCUCUUCUCGCUCAAGCUCUCGCCGAUAUUAUUUCAAUUUGCCGUCCCGUUAAUAUUGUUCUCAUUUUUCCCAUGUGGGUGACUCAUUGUGCCACCUGACAACUGUUUACUGGUUAUGCUAUUCGGCAUAGAAGCGCUCUUGUUUGACUAACAGCUACAUUAAUUUUAUCCUAUUGCAGUUAAGAUAAGAUUUGACCUAAGGUAGUAGAAUGUAAGAAGCGUUUCAUGGAAAAAUGACACUCAGAAAUCAUGUAUCAACAUAUAGGUUACUCGCACAUUGAAUACUGUAAUGUUAGUUCUGUAGUUGUUAGCAAAUAUAAGAUAACUAAUGAUGAAAAUGAUUAGACAGAUGCUGAAUCUUGAAGCUAUGAGGAUCCAUUUUAGUUUCUAAUUAAGGAUAUGUCGUAAUAUUAAGAGUAUAAUUACUUAAGUGUAACCGGUAACGUGUCAGAAAAUUAAAUUUUCAUUAGCUGUGCAAAUUUCUGUAUAACUUUCAUUGAGUGUAAUUUUUUGAAAGCUCUAAAAAUGAAGGCAUUGCCGUGAGCCACCAGUCCGAAUUCUUCAGUUGCCCCCUGGUGGUGAAACUCAGCCAUAGUGUGCAAAAGUUGCACUCGUCCUUAGGACCUAUAAGCCAAGUAGGUAUAAACCUGCCGUGUUCCGCACUGGACUGACCUAAUCGUGUUUUAUUUUU